rnacentral:rRNA from 1 species
UACAGAGGGGGCGAGCGUUGUUCGGAAUUACUGGGCGUAAAGGGCGCGUAGGCGGCCAACUAAGUCAGACGUGAAAUCCCAUGGCUCAACCAUGGAACUGCGUCUGAUACUGGAUGGCUUGAAUCCGGGAGAGGGAUGUGGAAUUCCAGGUGUAGCGGUGAAAUGCGUAGAUAUCUGGAGGAACACCGGUGGCGAAGGCGGGUCUCUGGGCCGAUACUGACGCUGAGGAGCGAAAGCGUGGGGAGCGAACAGG